rnacentral:rRNA from 1 species
GAUGAACGCUGGCGGCGUGCUUAAUACAUGCAAGUCGAGCGGACGGACGAGAAGCUUGCUGCGCUGAUGUUAGCGGCGCACGUGUGAGUAACAUGUGGAUAAUCUACCUAUAAGACUGGGAUAAUUUCGAAAAACCGGAGCUUAUACCGGAUAAUAUUUUGAACCGUAUGGUUGAAAAGUGAAAGACGGUCUUGCUGUCUCUUAUAGAUGCUUCCGCGCUGCAUUAGAUAGUUGGGAAGGUACCGGGUUAUGAAGGCAACGAUGCAUAGCCGACCUGAGGGGGUGAUGGGCGGCAUGGGAACUGAACCAGGGUCCAGACUCCUAAGGGACGCAGCAGUGGGGAAUCUGCCGCAGUAGUCGAAAACCUGACGGAGCAAAGCCACGCGGGUGGUGAAGGUCUUGCGAGCGUAAAACUGUGUUAUUAGGGAAAAACAUUUGUGGAAGUUGAUGAGCACAUCUUGACGGUAACUGAUCAGGAAACCACGGCUAACUACGUG